rnacentral:tRNA from 1 species
GGCUUUAUAGUCAUAAAUUAUGAUAUUAGACUGCAAUUCUAAAGGAGUAAAAUUUUACUAAAGCUU